rnacentral:rRNA from 1 species
AUUGAACGCUGGCGGCAGGCCUAACACAUGCAAGUCGAACGAGUGGCGGACGGGUGAGUAAUGUCUGGGCAACCGCCUGAUGGAGGGGGAUAACUACUGGAAACGGUAGCUAAUACCGCAUUCCAUAGGAUGUGCCCAGAUGGGAUUAGCUAGUAGGUGGGGUAACGGCUCACCUGGGCGUCGAUCCCUAGCUGGUCUGAGAGGAUGACCGGCCACACGGGAACGAGACAACGGUCCAGACUCUUACGGGAGGCAGCGGGGGGGAAUAUUGCACAAUGGGCGCAAGCCUGAUGCGGCCAGGCCGCGGGUAGGAAGAGGGCCUUGGGGUUUUAAGGUACUUUCAGCGGGGAGGCGUUACCCGCAGAAGAAGCACCGGCUAACUCCGUGCCAGCAGCCGCGGUAAUAC